GGGGCAUUACGGCGGCGAUACGAGAUGAUGAAAAUAAUCUCGCAUCAUUUAGAAGUACAUGAGUGCUUUAAUCAUGAAGAAGACGAUGCUGGAGGUUACAUAGAUGACUUCAAGCGUCUGGAAGUAAGCAGUAACAAUAUUUUUUUGAAAUAAAUCAAAGAAAGUUUUAUUAAAAAUUCGCUGCAUUAAAUUCCAACAUUUGUUUCACAGUUUCGAACUGUAUUGUAGGCCGGACGAUUCCGCAUCAUAGGGGACACCCGUUAGGCCGGCUUAAUUUGAAGCGACGACGUUCAGCCGAACAAGCGAUUAAUGAAAUACCAGCACGAAGAGCACGAAUCACGGCCGUAUGGGAUUACACCUGCGCAAUAUUCCUGUGGUUGUAUUAUCAUCUAUGCGAGAAAAUGAAAAAGAACAGGAAGAGCAGGAGGAGGAGGAGCAGAAGGAGGAGAAGAAAAUUAUAGAGGAGAGAGAAGAGGAAGAAGAGGAGGAGGGGAAGUGGAUAAAUUUCGAAGUUCGAAAUUUUAGAAAUGGAUAAACAGCGGCAAAAUUUCGAUAGUGGAAUCCGGCAAUAUCACUGAGAUAGAAGAGACGCAAAAAGCUUUGGAAGGGGAAGAAGACACGAAUGAAAGAGAGGAAGAGGGGGAGGAGAAGGAUGAGGAGGAAGCUAGAUACUAUGCUCAUGAUGUUGAAGAUAUUUCAUAUACGCCAUUUGAAUGAUAUAAAUCAAUCGAAUCGGUAUUCCGGAGAUUUUUAUGCGAGUGAAGAAAGCAACUAAAGUACAUAUCAUACAAAUCGCCGAUAUGAUGGCGUUGAUAGAGAUGAUGCCGAUCUAAUAAACGAAAGUAAGGAAAGUCCUGCUGACAACGAGGAACAUCGUCAUCAUCAUCUCAUCAUCAUCAACAUCAGUAGCAACAGCAGCAAUAGUGUCAUCAUCGCCAUCAGCAGCAGCAUCAUCGACACGAGGAAGCUAGCAGAUGGCCGAGCGAAUGUGGAGACAACGAUGUCGAGGCUAAGGAACGAUAUUUGAGGGAAUACGAAAAAACUGAGGAUAUCAUUCUCAACAGAAAUAACAUCACACGGAAUCCCAGUUUACGCUCGGUCGCUAAGCUUUGUCUAAAUUCAUGGGGAAAAUUUGGCCAGCGAACCAAUCUGCCUAAUACCGAUAUCGUAAAAUCCUAUCAGCGUCUGAUGACUUAAUUCACAAAUCUGGAGCAUGAGAUAACUAAUAU